ACUCGAGUGGCGAACGGGUGAGUAACACGUGGGCAAUCUGCCCUGCACUUCGGGAUAAGCCUGGGAAACUGGGUCUAAUACCGGAUAGGACCUUUAGGCGCAUGUCUUUAGGUGGAAAGCUUUUGCGGUGUGGGAUGGGCCCGCGGCCUAUCAGCUUGUUGGUGGGGUGAUGGCCUACCAAGGCGACGACGGGUAGCCGGCCUGAGAGGGUGUCCGGCCACACUGGGACUGAGAUACGGCCCAGACUCCUACGGGAGGCAGCAGUGGGGAAUAUUGCACAAUGGGCGCAAGCCUGAUGCAGCGACGCCGCGUGGGGGAUGACGGCCUUCGGGUUGUAAACCUCUUUCACCAUCGACGAAGGUCCGGGUUUUCUCGGAUUGACGGUAGGUGGAGAAGAAGCACCGGCCAACUACGUGCCAGCAGCCGCGGUAAUACGUAGGGUGCGAGCGUUGUCCGGAAUUACUG
rnacentral:rRNA from 1 species